rnacentral:lncRNA from 7 species
AGCAUAAAACCACUUUUUUAAAAAUAUAUAGUUCAAGCACACUUUGGGUAAUAAACAAACAUUGGCACCAUGAAGAGGUUACCCGAGUGGGAAGUACAGACUUACAGAGAGGCAGCUGUCCUUAACUUUGUGCUACUGCAAAUCCCCAGCUCCUUUCUGAGAGUAAAGAAGGCAUCUCGGUUCAGCUGUUAUCUUCACACAGCUGAAGUAUCUUCUGGAAGGUGAGCUGCUUUGCCCCUGGAAGGACCCAUCAUAGCUCUGCUCGUGGCCAGUAGAGGGCAAUGGUGCAUAUAGUCAAGACGGCAGGUCAAAAGUAGGCAUCCUACAUCCAUUAGAGAUUCAAAAAUCCACUUCUGUCUCUUCAUCAAAGGGAUACCUACUGUAUUGCAAUCCUGUCAUGAAUUAUCCUCUAGGAAUUUUUCCAUAGGAUUAUUCAUCAAGAAGAGUAUCAGCUGUCCAGGAUCCUGUUCUGAUGAUGCUCAAAUAAUGUAUCAUCUGGAGGAAUUUUUCUUAUAUUUAUCUCAUGACCUAAAACCUGUGCCAUACUUUUCAGAGACAUACAGAAAUAACCCAAAUAGUUGUUCUGCUGGAGAUGGUUCUGGAAGCCUGACUUACCAGCCUGCUUACAAAGGCUAAGCUGCCAUCACAAAGCCAAAAUCUGUAUGAACUUCAUCUUGCCUGCGAACUGGAGCCAAUGAUUAAAUCAAAGACACCAGAAUUUAAAACCAAACAAGAUUGUUAAGUAUUGCUCAUAUUAAUUUGCAGAGUAAGACAACAGAAUAGCCCUAGAUCACUGUAGUUUCUGGUAGGGACCAAAUGAAGUUACCCUAAGGUUUAAUUACACUGAGUUUGGAAAACUUACAGACUUUAACUAUGCAGUGUAUACAGAGGUAUCUGUACAUUUCAGAGUACACAGAUAACAACAGAAAAGAAGAAUUGAUUGAAAUGUAAGUAGAAGAAUAAAGUAGCAUUUUUUUGUGUGUCUCACUAGAUUUCUAAAACCCAGUGAAAGAUGCUUCAGUUUUAAAGAUGUUUCUGCUACUUGGAAAUUCUUAAAAUAAUCAGUUCUGAAGUGCUUAGCAAUAUCCUUCAUUUCCCAAUGAGGAAAAUAAACAUGAAUCAGGAGUAACAUGUAGGAAGGGAAGAAGAGAGAAAGAAAGAAGGGGGAGUAAGAGGAGGAAGGGAAGUUGGUUGUUUUAGUCAUACAAGUUUAACAACAAUUACAUGUUAAUUUGACUUAGAACAAAAGAGAGUAAGAAGAAAACAAGAGGAAGGAAAUAGAGAACACAUAUACAGUGUGGAUGUGUUAAUAAAAUAAAGAAAGAGUGGAAUAAUUAAGCCUGCAGAUAGUUGCAAUGCUAUAAUGGGAUGGAAAGUACCACAAUAAUAGCAGGGCAGCAAAGUCUUUAGCUACAGCAAAUGAGAACAAGCCCAAACACAACAACCACAGGUGCAGAAAUGAAAGAAAAGAGCUACUAACGUUCAGAAGA